rnacentral:rRNA from 1 species
UACGUAGGGUGCGAGCGUUGUCCGGAAUUAUUGGGCGUAAAGAGCUCGUAGGCGGUGUGUCACGUCGGCCGUGAAAACCUGCAGCUUAACUGUGGGCGUGCGGUCGAUACGGGCAUCACUGGAGUUCGGCAGGGGAGACUGGGAAUUCCUGGUGUAGCGGUGAAAUGCGCAGAUAUCAGGAGGAACACCGGUGGCGAAGGCGGGUCUCUGGGCCGAUACUGACGCUGAGGAGCGAAAGCGUGGGGAGCAAACAGG